rnacentral:rRNA from 1 species
GAUGAACGCUGGCGGCGUGCCUAAUACAUGCAAGUCGAGCGAACAGACGAGGAGCUUGCUCCUCUGACGUUAGCGGCGGACGGGUGAGUAACACGUGGAUAACCUACCUAUAAGACUGGGAUAACUUCGGGAAACCGGAGCCAAUACCGGAUAAUAUAUUGAACAGCAUGGUUCAAUAGUGAAAGACGGUUUUGCUGUCACUUAUAGAUGGAUCCGCGCCGCAUUAGCUAGUUGGUAAGGUAACGGCUUACCAAGGCAACGAUGCGUAGCCGACCUGAGAGGGUGAUCGGCCACACUGGAACUGAGACACGGUCCAGACUCCUACGGGAGGCAGCAGUAGGGAAUCUUCCGCAAUGGGCGAAAGCCUGACGGAGCAACGCCGCGUGAGUGAUGAAGGUCUUCGGAUCGUAAAACUCUGUUAUUAGGGAAGAACAAAUGUGUAAGUAACUAUGCACGUCUUGACGGUACCUAAUCAGAAAGCCACGGCUAACUACGUG